rnacentral:rRNA from 1 species
GACGAACGCUGGCGGCGUGCUUAACACAUGCAAGUCGAACGGAAAGGCCCUGCUUGUGUGUGGUGCUCGAGUGGCGAACGGGUGAGUAACACGUGAGUAACCUGCCCUGUACGUUGUGAUAACUUCAGGAAACUGGGGCUAAUACCGGAUAGGAGCGCCUGCUGCAUGGUGGGGGUUGGAAAGUUUCGGCGGUUGGGGAUGGACUCGCGGCUUAUCAGCUGGUUGGUGGGGUAGUGGCUUACCAAGGCUUUGACGGGUAGCCGGCCUGAGAGGGUGACCGGCGACCUUGGGACUGCGAUACGGAGCAGAGUCCUACGGGAGGCAGCAGUGGAGAAUAUUGCACAAUGGGCGGAAGCCUGAUGCAGAAACGCCGGGUGCGGGAUGACGGCCUUCGGGUUGUAAACCGCUUUAGCCUGUGACGAAGCGUGAGUGACGGUACUGGGUAAAGAAGCACCGGCUAACUACGUG